CCCCGCCUGCAACCCCGUGACUUUUAGUGUCCGUAACUACCGCAGACUCGUGUUCGGUAGCGAAGAGCCUAACGUAGGGAACGGCAGAAUGACACCAAAUGCCUCUAAGACUUAAAAGGACCACACACCUGUGGUGAUCAGCAGCAUGAGCUGAUGAUGACCAGACCACAGUCUGAUCGUACCUACAGGGAAAAAUCGGGUUUUAGAAGUCAAAAUGAGUCUUACGAGCUGUGGAGGGAUCCUGCCGGCCGCCAGGGUAUCGAUUUCUCAAGGAAAGAGGUGUUCGGGAGCAGAGCAGGGCUUCUCCCAAAGCAAUGCCAUUGACCCGCCCUGUUGUCUCCUGCACCAGCACGUUUUCAUUUGCAAAGACCAAAUCCUGCUUGCCAGAAACAAACACACCAAGUAGAUCGAGGAGCACAGCUGAGAGCUCUGCAGGAUGCAGUGGGAGAACCUUGGGAUUGCAGGAAUUUUUGUAGUAACCAGGAACCAUAAAAAGGGAGUCAGGCCGUUCAGGCACAAGGCAAAUGCUGCUGUCACGAGAGAAGGCAGGCUGGGAUCACAUCACCAUCACGAGCUGGUGGUGACCAAGGACAACAAGCAAGCAGCUACUGAGAUGCAUUCCCCUGGACUAUCACCCCAGUUUCUCUCGACAAAGACUCUGGAGGGCACCCCAGGCUGAGCCAGAGGACACCGGACAAAGCAAGAGCUGGGAAGUCACUGUGCAAUCCAGAGGUCACUGAGCAGCAGCGCCCAGGCACCAGGCA